CCCCUUCUCGAAGGAGAAGGGCCGGAGCGAGCUCAAGACGUUCACGGACCAGCAGACGAUGAAAGAGGUGGGGGAUGAGG
rnacentral:snRNA from 1 species